AACGAACGCUGGCGGCAUGCCUAACACAUGCAAGUCGAACGAGACCAUCGGGUCUUUUGGCGCACGGGUGCGUAACGCGAGGGAACCUGCCCUUAUGGUCGGAAUACCUCUCCGACAGGGGUGCUAAUACCGGAUAAUGUCUUCUGACCAAAGAUUUAUCGACCUAGUAUGGGCCCGCGUUGGAUUAGCUUGUGGGUAGGGUAAAAGCAUCCUACGGCGCCGAUCCAUAGCUGGGUUGAGAGAAUGAUCAGCCACACUGGGAGUGAGACGCGGCCCGGAAUCCUACGGGAGGGAGCAGUGGGGAAUGGAGGAAAGUGGGGGAAGGCAUGAUGCAGCAAGGCCGGGUAAGUGAUGAAGGCCUUAGGGUUGUAAAGCUCUAUUAACCGGGAUGAUAAUGACGGUACCGGGAGAAUAAGCCCCGGCUAACUACGUG
rnacentral:rRNA from 1 species